rnacentral:rRNA from 2 species
GUUAAGUGGGAAACGAUGUGGGAAGGCCCAGACAGCCAGGAUGUUGGCUUAGAAGCAGCCAUCAUUUAAAGAAAGCGUAAUAGCUCACUGGUCGAGUCGGCCUGCGCGGAAGAUGUAACGGGGCUAAACUAUGCACCGAAGCUGCGGCAGCGACACUAUGUGUUGUUGGGUAGGGGAGCGUUCUGUAAGCCUGUGAAGGUGUGUCGUGAGGCAUGCUGGAGGUAUCAGAAGUGCGAAUGCUGACAUAAGUAACGAUAAAGCGGGUGAAAAGCCCGCUCGCCGGAAGACCAAGGGUUCCUGUCCAACGUUAAUCGGGGCAGGGUGAGUCGACCCCUAAGGCGAGGCCGAAAGGCGUAGUCGAUGGGAAACGGGUUAAUAUUCCCGUACUUGGUGUUACUGCGAAGGGGGGACGGAGAAGGCUAUGUUGGCCGGGCGACGGUUGUCCCGGUUUAAGCGUGUAGGUGUGUGUUCCAGGUAAAUC